GAAUUUGAAGCCAGGAAAUGUGGCUCCAGAAUCCAUGCACCUGAUCACUGCCUGAUACCACCUUUGAUAAGGAGCCCUUCCUGUUCCUUUACUGACUUACUUCUACUCACACUUCAGAGUUCAGUUGUGUCUUAUCUUCAAUAAGUGAAGAUAAGAGCACAGAACGUAUCCUGGAUUACAGUAACUCAACUACGUAAAGUGCUGACAGCCAGUUGGUCCAAUAACUGAGUCUUUACUACAACUAAUUGGACAUUCAACAGUCAAAAAAGGAUAUCCACUUAGCACCACAGGACACCUGAAUGACCUGUGCUGCUAUACAUCAGAAGGUGGACAGACUUCCCCCCAGGAGGAGGUGGAGAUAGGUGAAAAGUCUCUGACCCCCGGACAGCCUACUACCUGCAAGUGACUCUCUACUGGCUGACUCGCUCAUAGCAUCACCACAGCACUGAGGGCAGGCGUGUGCAUGCACUGGUGGCAUGACUGUGGAAACAGCUGAUGGGAGACCCCACAGGGCCACUGCAAUCAUGAGGAGGGGCCCAGGCUCGGUCAGGAAGAGCUGAC
rnacentral:lncRNA from 1 species